rnacentral:rRNA from 1 species
UGGGGAAUAUUGGACAAUGGGCGAAAGCCUGAUCCAGCCAUGCCGCGUGUGUGAAGAAGGUCUUCGGAUUGUAAAGCACUUUAAGUUGGGAGGAAGGGCAGUAAGCGAAUACCUUGCUGUUUUGACGUUACCGACAGAAUAAGCACCGGCUAACUCUGUGCCAGCAGCCGCGGUAAUACAGAGGGUGCAAGCGUUAAUCGGAAUUACUGGGCGUAAAGCGCGCGUAGGUGGUUCGUUAAGUUGAAUGUGAAAGCCCCGGGCUCAACCGGGGAAGUGCAUAAAAAAAUGGCGAGCUAGAGUAGGGAAGAGGGUGGGGGAAUUUACUGUGUAGCGGUGAAAUGCGUAGAUAUAGGAAGGAACACCAGUGGCGAAGGCGACCAACUGGGCUCAUACUGACACUGAGGUGCGAAAGCGUGGGGAGCAAACAGG